AGGUCUUACAGGUCAUAUGGGGAAGCUGGUACCACUGAAGGAAACUAUCAAAGGAUUCCAGCAGAUUUUGGCAGGUGAAUAUGAUCAUCUCCAGAACAGCCUUCUAUAUGGUGGGACCCAUUGAAGAAGCUGUGGCAAAAGCUGUUAAGUUGGCUGAAGAGCAUCAUCGUGAGGGGUCUUUUUGGCAAACUAAGCAAUCAUCCUGUUGUCCCUCUCCUUGUCCCAAUCCAAAAACCUUCAGUUUUCUGUGUAGGCCACACAAGAGCCUUGAUUGAAGACAUUUUGUUCUGUCUGAAGAGUAUUUAAGGUUUCCAAUAAAAUGUACACCCCUCGGAA